AGUGAACGCUGGCGGCGUGCCUAACACAUGCAAGUCGAACGAUGAUGGAGAGCUUGCUCUCCUGAUUAGUGGCGCACGGGUGAGUAAUGCAUAGAUAAUGUGCCCCUUAGUUCGGGAUAGCCACUGGAAACGGUGAUUAAUACCGGAUACUCCUUCUUGUCUCAAGGCAAGUCGGGAAAGUUUUUUCGCUAAGGGAUCAGUCUAUGUUCCAUCAGGUAGUUGGUGAGGUAAUGGCUCACCAAGCCUAUGACGGAUAUCUGGUUUGAGAGGAUGAUCAGACACACUGGAACUGAGACACGGUCCAGACUCCUACGGGAGGCAGCAGUGAGGAAUAUUGCACAAUGGAGGAAACUCUGAUGCAGCAACGCCGCGUGGAGGAUGACGCAUUUCGGUGUGUAAACUCCUUUUAUUAGGGAAGAUAAUGACGGUACCUAAUGAAUAAGCACCGGCUAACUCCGUGCCAGCCGCCGCAGUAA
rnacentral:rRNA from 1 species